AGAAAGGGGAACAACUUGCUUCUUCCCCGGAUUAAAAAAAACACCCCUUUUCCGCAUUUUUGGGGGGCCCCUUAAAUUUUGUUUUGUUCAGACGAACGUUGGAGGCCCCCCUAAUACAUGCAAGUCGUACGCUUCUUUCUCCACAGGAGCGUGCUCCACCGGAAAAAGAAGAGUGUCGAAUGGGUGAGUAACACGUGGGUAACCUGCUCAUCAGAAGGGGAUAACACUUGGAAACAGGUGCUAAUACCGUAUAACAAUCGAAACCGCAUGGUUUUGAUGUGAAAGGCGCUUUCGGGUGUCGCUGACGGAUGGACCCGCGGUGCAUUAGCUAGUUGGUGAGGUAACGGCUCACCAAGGCCACGAUGCAUAGCCGACCUGAGAGGGUGAUCGGCCACAUUGGGACUGAGACACGGCCCAAACUCCUACGGGAGGCAGCAGUAGGGAAUCUUCGGCAAUGGACGAAAGUCUGACCGAGCAACGCCGCGUGAGUGAAGAAGGUUUUCGGAUCGUAAAACUCUGUUGUUAGAGAAGAACAAGGAUGAGAGUAACUGUUCAUCCCUUGACGGUAUCUAACCAGAAAGCCACGGCUAACUACGUGCCAGCAGCCGCGGUAAUACGUAGGUGGCAAGCGUUGUCCGGAUUUAUUGGGCGUAAAGCGAGCGCAGGCGGUUUCUUAAGUCUGAUGUGAAAGCCCCCGGCUCAACCGGGGAGGGUCAUUGGAAACUGGGAGACUUGAGUGCAGAAGAGGAGAGUGGAAUUCCAUGUGUAGCGGUGAAAUGCGUAGAUAUAUGGAGGAACACCAGUGGCGAAGGCGGCUCUCUGGUCUGUAACUGACGCUGAGGCUCGAAAGCGUGGGGAGCAAACAGGAUUAGAUACCCUGGUAGUCCACGCCGUAAACGAUGAGGGCUAAGUGUUGGAGGGUUUCCGCCCUUCAGUGCUGCAGCUAACGCAGUAAGCAAU
rnacentral:rRNA from 1 species